UACAUCUAAUGUCAGGUUGCCUAAUGUUA
rnacentral:piRNA from 1 species